rnacentral:rRNA from 1 species
UCCGGGGGGGGCAAGCGUUGUUCGGAAUUACUGGGCGUAAAGGGCUCGUAGGUGGCGCUGUAAUUCGGGUGUGAAAUCCUGAGGCUUAACCUCGGAACUGCAUUCGAUACUGCGGCGCUUGAGGACUGGAGAGGAGACUGGAAUUCAUAGUGUAGCAGUGAAAUGCGUAGAGAUCAUGAGGAAGACCAGUGGCGAAGGCGGGUCUCUGGACAGUUCCUGACACUGAGGCACGAAGGCCAGGGGAGCAAACGGG